rnacentral:rRNA from 1 species
UAAUCUGCCCAUCAGACGGGGACAACGAUUGGAAACGAUCGCUAAUACCGGAUAGGACGAAAGUUUAAAGAUGCUCCUGGCAUCACUGAUGGAUGAGCCUGCGGCGCAUUAGCUAGUUGGUGGGGUAAAGGCCUACCAAGGCGACGAUGCGUAGCCGACCUGAGAGGGUGAACGGCCACACUGGGACUGAGACACGGCCCAGACUCCUACGGGAGGCAGCAGUAGGGAAUCUUCGGCAAUGGGCGAAAGCCUGACCGAGCAACGCCGCGUGAAUGAAGAAGGCCUUCGGGUUGUAAAAUUCUGUUAUAAGGGAAGAAAGGUGAUAGGAGGAAAUGACUAUCAAUUGACGGUACCUUAUGAGAAAGCCACGGCUAACUACGUGCCAGCAGCCGCGGUAAUACGUAGGUGGCAAGCGUUAUCCGGAAUUAUUGGGCGUAAAGAGCGCGCAGGUGGUUAAUUAAGUCUGAUGUGAAAGCCCACGGCUUAACCGUGGAGGGUCAUUGGAAACUGGUUGACUUGAGUGCAGAAGAGGGAAGUGGAAUUCCAUGUGUAGCGGUGAAAUGCGUAGAGAUAUGGAGGAACACCAGUGGCGAAGGCGGCUUCCUGGUCUGCAACUGACACUGAGGCGCGAAAGCGUGGGGAGCAACAGGAUUAGAUACCCUGGUAGUCCACGCCGUAAACGAUGAGUGCUAAGUGU